AUACUUACCUGGCAGGGGGGAUACCAUGAUCAUGAAGGUGGUUUUCCCAGGGUUAAGCUUAUCCAUUGCACUCCAGAUCUGCUGACCUCUGCCAUUUCCCCAUAUGUGGGAAACUCGACUGCAUAAUUUGUGGUCGUGGGGGACUGCGUUCAUACUCUCCCCUG
rnacentral:snRNA from 1 species